CUCCCCCUCCGAAAUCCCCAACUUUCCCCCCAAAAAUCCCUAAUUUCCCACAUCCAAGAAAAAAAACCCAAAAGCUUAGGAAACGAUGAGAAAAAGAGCAAAAAGGGAUUGCGACUAUUGGCUCGUGUUAAACCAUAUGAGAUUUUCUUGAAAUCUAUAACCAAGGAUGUUACCAAUGUUCAGAUUACAUACCCUUGCAGGUUCUUUUUCUUGUUCCUUACUAAUGCAACAUAUUCUGUUUUUACAGAAGAACAUCAAUAAAGAUGCUUCAAUGGAGUUGUUGGACUUUUCACAAGGCUUUUCGGGUACACAUUUUAAGGGCAAAUCAUCAUCAUUCCAGAAAAAACUUGGUUUCCUAAAAUCUGGAAAAGCAGGUUCGAAAAACCUGCAGGAGCUGCAACAAUAUAUUUUUUGAUGCAUUUAGUUGGUUUGCAGUUUAUGGUUAUAUAGUAGAAGAGAUAAGCAUAGAGAAAUGGUCGAUCACCCACACUAAUUUCCUAUCCUGAACAGUCUUCUUCAUCUGUUAGUAGCCGUUGUUUUGACAAUCAUGGUAUAAGAUGAUCACCCACAUCAACAGUCAUUGGACCUUCCAAGCAUCGGCAUUCAACUCUUGGGGAUCCCAAUUUUGUGGAGAAUUACUUCAAGCCUUGGGAAGAAAGUUUGCGGGAUGCACACGAGUUUGGAAAACUUGGGAAGAAAGUUUGGAAUGCCUUCAAUGAAACUUGCAGAGCAAAGAUGGUGCAGCAGACUGCAUUGUAUUUUUUAUUACCUUGCAAUAUGUAUGGUCAUAGGCAGGUUUAACUAGUCAGUCUGUUUGUCAUAUGUAUUAUUUAUUUUAGUUUUGAUUCUAAAUUUUUAUUUUUACUUUAAUAUUUACGACAAUUUGAGUUCUAACUUUUGGAUUUUAA